AGUGGCAGCACGGGUGMGUAACGCGUGGGAAUCUACCUUGGGGUAGCGGAACAACCAAGGGAAACUUUGGCUAAUACCGUAUGAGCCCUUCGGGGGAAAGAUUUAUCGCCAUAAGAUGAGCCCGCGUAGGAUUAGCUAGUUGGUGAGGUAAUGGCUCACCAAGGCGACGAUCCUUAGCUGGUCUGAGAGGAUGACCAGCCACACUGGGACUGAGACACGGCCCAGACUCCUACGGGAGGCAGCAGUGGGGAAUAUUGGACAAUGGGCGCAAGCCUGAUCCAGCCAUGCCGCGUGUGUGAUGAAGGCCUUAGGGUUGUAAAGCACUUUUACCGAUGAAGAUAAUGACUGUACCCGGAGAAUAAGCCCCGGCUAACUUCGUGCCAGCAGCCGCGGUAAUACGAAGGGGGCUAGCGUUGUUCGGAAUUACUGGGCGUAAAGCGUACGUAGGCGGAUUGUUAAGUGAGGGGUGAAAUCCCGAGGCUC
rnacentral:rRNA from 1 species